CGGGUGAGUAAUGUCUGGGAAACUGCCCGAUGGAGGGGGAUGACUACUGGAAACGGUAGCUAAUACCGCAUAACGUCGCAAGACCAAAGAGGGGGACCUUAGGGCCUCUUGCCAUCGGAUGUGCCCAGAUGGGAUUAGCUAGUAGGUGGGGUAAUGGCUCACCUAGGCGACGAUCCCUAGCUGGUCUGAGAGGAUGACCAGCCACACUGGAACUGAGACACGGUCCAG
rnacentral:rRNA from 1 species